GUGCUCCCUUCAGUAGCACAUAUACUAAAGUUGUAAUGAUACAGAGAAGACUAGCAUGUCCUCUGAGCAAAGAUGAUGUGCAAAUUCAUGAAGCUUUCCAUAUUUUU